rnacentral:rRNA from 1 species
UUGCUCCUUAUGAAAGUGGCGCACGGGUGCGUAACGCGUAUGCAACCUACCUUUAUCAGGGGGAUAGCCCGGAGAAAUCCGGAUUAACACCGCAUAAAAUCACAGGAUAGCAUUAUCCAAUGAUCAAAUAUUUAUAGGAUAAAGAUGGGCAUGCGUGUCAUUAGCUAGUUGGCGGGGUAACGGCCCACCAAGGCGACGAUGACUAGGGGAUCUGAGAGGAUGGCCCCCCACACUGGUACUGAGACACGGACCAGACUCCUACGGGAGGCAGCAGUAAGGAAUAUUGGUCAAUGGAGGGAACUCUGAACCAGCCAUGCCGCGUGCAGGAAGACUGCCCUAUGGGUUGUAAACUGCUUUUAUCCGGGAAUAAACCUACUUACGUGUAAGUAGCUGAAUGUACCGGAAGAAUAAGGAUCGGCUAACUCCGUGCCAGCAGCCGCGGUAAUACGGAGGAUCCAAGCGUUAUCCGGAUUUAUUGGGUUUAAAGGGUGCGUAGGCGGCCUGUUAAGUCAGGGGUGAAAGACGGUAGCUCAACUAUCGCAGUGCCCUUGAUACUGAUGGGCUUGAAUGGACUAGAGGUAGGCGGAAUGAGACAAGUAGCGGUGAAAUGCAUAGAUAUGUCUCAGAACACCGAUUGCGAAGGCAGCUUACUAUGGUCUUAUUGACGCUGAGGCACGAAAGCGUGGGGAUCAAACAGGAUUAGAUACCCUGGUAGUCCACGCCCUAAACGAUGAACACUCGCUGUUGGCGAUACACAGUCAGCGGCUAAGCGAAAGCGUU